rnacentral:tmRNA from 1 species
GGGGGCGUCACGGUUUCGACGGGAUCGAUUGCGGCUUAGGAGGCAUGUCAGGGUGUGGGCACCUGUAAUCGCCUGCAAAACUAAAGUUGCCAACGAUAAUCUG